AUCUAAAUAGUUUAUUUAAAAUAUUGAUUUGUGGUGUCGAUGAAAUGAGGUUUGUCAUUUUAGAUC
rnacentral:tRNA from 1 species